GCCGACGCGCGACGGCUCGGCGUGGCGCUGGCGCAGCGCGGCCAGCUCGGCCUCGAGCGCACGGUUCUGCGUCUCCAGCUGGUGCACCUUCUCGAUGAACACGGCGAAGCGGUCGUUGAGGCCCUGCAGCUGCUCCUUCUCGUUAGUGCGGAUGAUCUUGUACUCGUUGGUGCGCGCCGCCGCCUGGCUCAGGUCCAGCCCGUCGGAGGCCGGCAGGCGGCGGUAGGCCAGGCCCAGGCCGAGGGACGAGGCCGAGGAGCAGGCGGCCGUGGAGGCCACAUUGCUGCGGGACAGCGACUGCGAGCGGAAGCUGCCCGAGCCUCCCGGCCCGGACAGGCGCGCGGAGAGGCGCGAGCUGUCCCCGAACACCUUGCGGUAGGAGGAGGCGGAGCACAAAUAGUGCUCCGAUCCGAAGCUCAUGGUGCCGGGGUCGGGGCCGGGUGCGCGGCUGCGGCGGGACCUGGCGAGGACGCGAAGAAUUCAUCCUACAAAUAAGAUGACGACCUCCUGGAGUGACCGCUUACAGAAUGCAGCAGAUGUGCCUGCUAACAUGGAUAAGCAUGCCUUGAAAAAGUACCGUCGAGAAGCCUAUCACCGGGUGUUUGUGAACCGAAGUUUAGCCAUGGAAAAAAUAAAGUGUUUUGGUUUUGAUAUGGAUUAUACCCUAGCCGGAAAGCCAGUGUAACUCCUUCAAGACUGGAGUGGCACACACUACCUGCAUCUGCCUCAUUGUACAAGUCUCCAGAAUAUGAAUCCCUUGGCUUUGAGCUUACUGUGGAGAGAUUAGUUUCCAUUGGCUAUCCUCAGGAGCUGCUCAGCUUUGCAUAUGAUUCUACAUUCCCUACCAGAGGACUUGUCUUUGACACGCUCUAUGGAAAUCUUUUGAAAGUCGAUGCCUAUGGAAACCUCUUGGUGUGUGCACAUGGAUUUAACUUCAUAAGAGGACCAGAAACUAGAGAGCAGUAUCCAAAUAAAUUUAUCCAACGAGAUGACACUGAACGGUUUUACAUUCUGAACACACUAUUCAAUCUCCCAGAGACCUACCUGUUGGCCUGCCUCGUAGAUUUUUUUACUAAUUGUCCCAGAUACACCAGUGAAUUUAGUGCUAGUGAGAGAUGCCACAUUGCCAGCCUGAGAGAUGGACAGCGCCAGCAGCUCCAUGCAGGCUCUCACCUCCCACACGGCCCCUCUCCUUGCCAGUGUGCUGCAGCCAUGUUUGGAAGGGACCACUUGUGACUGGGAUUGAAGACGGCCAGCAGAGGUGCUAAUUGUGACAACUGAGUGGGAGUUGUGACACAGGAUUUAAAGAUGGGGACCUCUUCAUGUCCUACCGUAGCAUGUUCCAGGACGUAAGAGACGCAGUGGACUGGGUCCAUUACAAGGGCUCCCUUAAGGAGAAGACGGUUGAAAAUCUUGAGAAGUAUGUCGUCAAGGAUGGCAAGUUGCCGUUGCUUCUGAGCCGAAUGAAGGAAGUAGGGAAAGUGUUUCUGGCUACUAACAGUGACUAUAAGUACACAGAUAAAAUCAUGACUUACCUGUUUGAUUUCCCGCAUGGCCCCAAGCCCGGGAGCUCCCACCGGCCGUGGCAGUCCUACUUUGACCUGAUUUUGGUGGAUGCUCGGAAACCACUCUUUUUUGGAGAAGGCACAGUGCUGCGUCAGGUGGACACUAAAACUGGAAAACUGAAAAUUGGCACCUACACGGGCCCCCUGCAGCACGGCAUUGUCUACUCAGGGGGUUCAUCUGAUACAAUCUGUGACCUGUUGGGAGCUAAGGGCAAAGACAUUUUGUAUAUUGGAGAUCACAUUUUUGGAGACAUUCUGAAGUCAAAGAAACGGCAAGGGUGGAGGACUUUCUUGGUGAUUCCUGAGCUUGCGCAGGAGCUCCACGUCUGGACGGACAAGAGUUCACUCUUUGAAGAACUUCAAAGCUUGGAUAUUUUCUUGGCUGAACUCUACAAGCACCUGGACAGCAGUAGCAAUGAGCGCCCGGACAUUAGUUCCAUCCAGAGACGGAUUAAGAAAGUAACUCAUGACAUGGACAUGUGCUAUGGGAUGAUGGGAAGCCUGUUCCGCAGCGGCUCCCGGCAGACACUCUUUGCCAGCCAAGUGAUGCGCUAUGCAGAUCUCUAUGCGGCCUCGUUCAUCAACCUGCUGUACUACCCAUUCAGCUACCUCUUCAGAGCUGCCCAUGUCCUGAUGCCGCACGAGUCAACGGUGGAACACACGCAUGUGGAUAUCAAUGAGAUGGAGUCCCCUCUCGCCACCCGGAACCGCACGUCAGUGGAUUUCAAAGACACUGACUAUAAGCGACACCAGCUUACAAGGUCCAUUAGUGAGAUCAAGCCCCCCAACCUCUUCCCGCUGGCCCCCCAGGAGAUCACACACUGCCAUGAUGAAGAUGAUGAUGAAGAGGAAGAAGAGGAAGAAUAGGAAGGCAGACUAGAAACCGGAGCACCCAUCAAGUCUGUCAGACUCACGGGGUGAGGGGUGGCCUGUUUGGAUUCUGUUAGGGAGGGUGGGAGGACUCCAUCAGAAGUCCUGGAAAGUUUGGAAAGUUUCUCAAGGCUUUAAAUAAUUCUAAUCAUAGCUACUUCAGUUUUGUGUAUCUGUUCUCUGCAGAUGGUUUGAAACUGUAUAGGAAGAACAGGUAAAGGCAGGUGGAGUGCACACAGAUCGCACCACAUGGCUUGUAAUGAUUUUCUGUGUCUGUCAUCGUCAGCGUGUCAUCUGGAUGUACGAAGGUAGUAAAAAAGGGUUUCAGAACAGAGCCACGGGACUGGUAGGAAGAGGAGAUCCACAAAUGCUGUAUACAGGCUGUACCGCUGCUUCAAACCCCACUUGUCCAGUGCUUCACAGUGUUGCUAAUCAGUGGAGAAAUACAUGCUUUCAUUAUCAAGUGUAGUCAGCCGUCUGUUGAGGUCAGGUUUCCUUCCGUUAGCUUUUGGGUUUCCUCGGUGGCUCUGGCAAGGCUGCUGCUGUGUCAUUCGGUGCCUUUGUGAGUUUCCUUGCUGUAGGUGAUUCUUGACUGUGGGGAUUGGAAUUUGAGGCAGAAGUUACCAUCCCUACUACAUUUUUUAAAGUUGGUAGCACAAAUGCUUUUUAUUCUAUGAAAACAAUCCUUUUGGGGAAUGUACCUGAAGAGUACAGAGGAGCAAGUUCCCAGAGCAGCAGCCACGGCAUCGUGGCCUGCAGGUGCACCCUCCUCCUCGCCACAGUCAGUCAGUUCCCGUGACAGGAAACGACCUUGUGUUCUGAGGAGAGCGUGAAGGCUGUGCCUGCCCUGCCAGUGCAGGGAGCUGUCCCGCACUUGAGCAGUGUCAGAGAUUCUUGCUUUAACUUUGAUUUGCUUUCUCCCAUUCUUGGCCCUGGUCACUAGGGUCCUGGCUAUUCUAGAACUCAGUAAAAUGUAUGUCUAAUGCUAACAUUGGCCCUUGUGUAGUACAACUAUUAGCCGUCACAGCUAUUGCUCUUCAAAUGGCUUUAGGGUUGGUGUUCUUUUUAAGGGAAAUACAUUUUCAAAAUUGCUCACCAUAUCUGUAUCACUUUUAGUUAAAAACAUGCUUAUAUGUACAGUGUUUCAUGGGUAUAAGGAUUUUUUUUCACUGAGGUUUUAGGCAUUUUUUAAAAAGACAAAUUUUCUCUAUGUAGCCCUGGCUGUCCUGGGACAUGUUCAGUAUGUAGAGCAGACUGGCCUUGAACUCAAAGAGGUGUGCCUGUCUCUGCCUCCCGGGUGCUGGGAUUAAAGGCGUGCAGCACCUUGCCUGGCUUGUUUUAAAGUAAUCAUUGAAGGUAUGGAGCACAGCCACUGAGCCAAGGCUGCAGCUGCCAGCACUCACUGACUUUACAGUAAGUCAUUUCAAGUAACGUGCAUUCGGACUGAAAUUUCUGGAACAUGUACGUGGCCUAUUAGUUGUCAUCUCUGUUUUUAAAAUUUAGAGACUACCGUAUUCACCCUAGUUACUAUUCUCAUUUAAAUUGUCAUUGAGGACAUUGCCUAGUUUGACAGUGUUAAGCCUUCUCAAGCCCAGAUCACCUCUGCGUGGCAUGUGACAACUGCAGAGUCACCUUGCAUUAGUUCAUUCCUUAGAGCAGAGGUGGAUAUCACUCAGUUUGCUUUCUAUGUUUUACUGUGUUGUGUGGAUACAACAGUUUGUUACUGGCCAGAUGACACUGUCAGCCAGGUGACUCACCAGGAGAGCUAGCGAGCGAGCAAGCACUUCAAGUGGCUGUGAAAAGCACGCAGUUGCAAGAACUCCACGUUAAGUCACCAGAAGGAGCUGCUAAGGAGCUUUGUGAGAGACCAGCUGGUGAUUUCCCACACGUUCCCAGAUGUGCUGGGAGGUCUGUCUGGGGCAGGUGACUGGACAUUUCAGAAUGGAAAACAGGGAUUGUCUGUCAUCAGUAAACUUCUCCACCGUUUUCCUAAGUCUGAAUAAUUUAGAGGACAGAAAUGGCAGCCCGCCCUUCCGUCACUCUUCAGAACCUUUCCUAGGAGUUCUGAAAACACUCAGUUUUCAGGCUUUGUAGAGCAUCAGAAUUUAGGAAUCCUUUCUUCAUGCUAGACUGAGCUCCCAAGACUGGAGUGUGUGACACUAGGGAGUCCGGUGUUCCCAGUCCUACUGGGUCUCACGGCCACAGAGGUGCGCCAGGAGAACAAACACCCAAGUGUCUCAGAAACAUCUGGGGCAGAGAAAAUUCAAUGUUUAUUUUAUACCCAAGAUUCUCCUUUACCAUAAGCAUAGAUCUGCAGAGAUCCAUGGAGUAAGCUAUGCGCCCUUCAAGUUGCUCUUUAAAUUUUGUUUAAAGUAGAAAUAGAAUAACUAAAUGAGCUACAAAUCUGUAAGUCACAUUCUAUGGGCAGUUACAGGUCAGAUUUAAAAGUAGCUUGCCCAUGUUUAGAUAUUUAUAAAUCAGACUUGUUUGUUUAACAACUUUAAAGUCCUGCAAGUUUUCCAGGGCUUCUGGGGCACUUUUAAAUCCUCUGCUUAUUCACCACAAAUAGCCUGAGAUAAACAACUGCAUAUUUAAGACUGUAUUAGGACAGGAACUUCGCUCACAUUCCAUGUUAUGGAAACUAUUUAAGCUCUUUCUGACGGUGGGAAAGUGGUUACUAAGAUCCAUCUAUUGCUGUGCUGCCAGCCGCCUUCUUCCCCAUGUGGUUUGAGAGUUAGGCCCUCAAUCCUUAGUUUCUCAUGGCAUUCUUUCUUGGUGACUAGAAUUAGCUUCUCUUGCAGUUUUUCCUCAGAGGGAAUGAUUUCUAAUCAUACACUUGGGAUGCCCAAGUCUGGAGUCCUUACCAAAGAUGAAACAAAAGCAUGCACUAUAGUAAGAUGCAUAGAGGAUCUACAUGCAUGUGACGUCAAAAAGCAGAGCCUGAUUGCAGCCCACAUUGCCUGCCACACUAACAGGGAACCAGCACCUAAGCUCCCCACUGCUGUCCAGAAGAAGCAAGAAGCAGCUCUAGAAAGAAUAUUCAGUUACGAAACACGAAACUUUUCUCCUCAUUGCUUUUCCCUGCUUCUCAACCUAUGGAGACAACAGUGUAAUGGUGUCCAGCAAAACAGUAAUGGCAAGAAGUGAAAUGUUGCCAUGUGCCAUACCAAUGUGUCAGUCAGCAACAGACCAUGCAUAUUACGGUGGCCCCAUAAGGUGCAGCUGUCUGGUUUGUGAGUACUCAUGCCUGCUGUUCCCGUGAGGUCACCUCAUGACACAUUCCCACUGUGAAAUGAUGCACAGCUCCCAAGAUCCUUUUAGAGCCAAAACAUGAAACUGCACCAGAUUCACCUCUCAGGCUUGGACACCACAUGGAAAGUAAGCAGAAUUUUUCCAACUAAAUAAAAUUCCCAGUUUUGAGCCUG